rnacentral:sRNA from 1 species
CAAUCGGCCCCGUGUUAUUGCCUGACCCCCGACCUGGCAAUCACACGGGGCCGCUCU